AAACUCAGUUUCAGCUUCUUCAGCAAAAAUCAGUCAGCCCUCAGAAUUCACUGCAUUUUUAAUGAAAAACAUUGUUUUUCUACUUUAAGAUUUUUCAAUUAUUUGCUGAAUAAUCUUGCUACAAUAACAUUAACAGUGCCACGUGUGUCUGAUGGUUGGAUAUGUUUAGGAGAACGCCGGGCAGACAGACUGACAGGGGAGGACUGGUGUCCAAAGUCACGACCCUGCCCUGACCUGCGUGAAGGAAAUGGUCACGCUGCUCGAGACAAAGCAGGGCAGAGGAGAGUCUGAGGGGGCUGGCUGCUCGGCUCCUAACAAUGGGCCUUCGACACAGUUCAUUCUCGGCUCGAGGGGAAGUGCAGGAGGAAACUCUUGUGAUCAGGCCGUCACUUCCUGCGCACGGCUCUGUUGUUCCAGAGAGCGUCUGUGAAGGAGCCAAGUGGCCCGGGCAGAGACAGAAGGUGGGCUCCUCGCAUAAAUCUGACGGCUGUCAGCCCGGCAGGGGAAGGGAGGUUCUCCUGGCGGGCCAAGACGUGGAGAAAACAAACGUGAGGAUGAAACGAGACAGCAAAGACCACCUUACUGUAAAUCAGACAUGAUUUGUUGGUACAAUAAAGAAAACAAGAAAGACUUAA